CCAGUCACAUGUAGGUAAAUGAUAACUUAAAAUGUGGCAAAUGUAACAGUCUCCACAGUAAACCUGCUGGAAUGAAUACUAUUAUUUACUCCUCAUUUUGCAGAGAAGAAACUGGAAUUUUAGCGAGUCCUUCUGCCCUUCCCCACUGGAAAGACCUAAUCAUUUAACCACAAAACUGAGCAGAGAACUUUCGCAAUUGAACUGGCAAGAAUUAUUUUAAAUACAUGGCAUUAAACUUCU
rnacentral:lncRNA from 10 species